rnacentral:rRNA from 1 species
GUGUCAGCCGCCGCGGUAAUACGUAGGGUCCGAGCGUUGUCCGGAAUUAUUGGGCGUAAAGAGCUCGUAGGCGGUUUGUCGCGUCUGCUGUGAAAUCCCGAGGCUCAACCUCGGGCCUGCAGUGGGUACGGGCAGACUUGAGUGGUGUAGGGGAGACUGGAAUUCCUGGUGUAGCGGUGGAAUGCGCAGAUAUCAGGAGGAACACCGAUGGCGAAGGCAGGUCUCUGGGCACUUACUGACGCUGAGGAGCGAAAGCGUGGGGAGCGAACAGGAUUAGAAACCCUCGUAGUCC